UACGGAGGGUGCAAGCGUUAAUCGGAAUUACUGGGCGUAAAGCGUGCGCAGGCGGUUUGUUAAGUCUGCUGUGAAAUCCCCGAGCUCAACUUGGGAAUUGCAGUGGAUACUGGCAAGCUAGAGUAUGGUAGAGGAAGGUGGAAUUCCCGGUGUAGCAGUGAAAUGCGUAGAGAUCGGGAGGAACACCAGUGGCGAAGGCGGCCUUCUGGACCAAUACUGACGCUCAUGCACGAAAGCGUGGGGAGCAAACAGG
rnacentral:rRNA from 1 species